rnacentral:lncRNA from 1 species
GCUUAGAAAAGGGCUCCUAUGGGGUGUUAUUUUGGAGUGUAAAAGUCCAUCAUACCCUUAGUAAAAGGCGUCUCUUGAGUGUAAGGAACCUCCUCCUUUCUUCACUUGGACAAGGCUUUGUAAUGGUUCCAAAAGGUCUUCAAGCACUUGUAAAUUCGAGACUUGAUCCUUUGACAAUCCGAAGCUUGAACCUUCUACAAGACCUUGUUAACCUUGUACUCUUUAUGAUUGUAUCAUCCUCUCCAUCUUAAAAGGAUUUGUCCUCAAAUUCAGAUCUUGCAAAACUAAAGAGAAAGCAAAACAAGCACAAAAUCCUC